GAUGAACGCUGGCGGCGUGCCUAAUACAUGCAAGUCGAGCGAAUGGAUUAAGAGCUUGCUCUUAUGAAGUUAGCGGCGGACGGGUGAGUAACACGUGGGUAACCUGCCCAUAAGACUGGGAUAACUCCGGGAAACCGGGGCUAAUACCGGAUAACAUUUUGAACCGCAUGGUUCGAAAUUGAAAGGCGGCUUCGGCUGUCACUAAUGGAUGGACCCGCGUCGCAUUAGCUAGGUGAUGAGGUAACGGCUCACCAAGGCAACGAUGCCUAGCCGACCUGGGAGGGUGAUCGGCCACACUGGGACUGAGACACGGCCCAGACUCCUACGGGAGGCAGCAGUAGGGAAUCUUCCGCAAUGGACGAAAGUCUGACGGAGCAACGCCGCGUGAGUGAUGAAGGCUUUCGGGUCGUAAAACUCUGUUGUUAGGGAAGAACAAGUGCUAGUUGAAUAAGCUGGCACCUUGACGGUACCUAACCAGAAAGCCACGGCUAACUACGUGCCAGCAGCCGCCGUAA
rnacentral:rRNA from 1 species